CAGUAGCCACGGGAAUACGGAGGGUGCAAGCGUUAAUCGGAAUUACUGGGCGUAAAGCGCACGCAGGCGGUCUGACAAGUCAGAUGUGAAAUCCCUGAGCUUAACUUAGGAAUUGCAUUCGAUACUGGGAAGCUAGAGUAUGGGAGAGGAUGGUAGAAUUCCAGGUGUAGCGGUGAAAUGCGUAGAGAUCUGGAGGAAUACCGAUGGCGAAGGCAGCCAUCUGGCCUAAUACUGACGCUGAGGUACGAAAGCAUGGGGAGCAAACAGGAUUAGAUACCCGUGUAGUCCCUGUCUCUUAUAC
rnacentral:rRNA from 1 species